rnacentral:rRNA from 1 species
GACAGAGGGUGCAACCGUUGUUCGGAAUUACUGGGCGUAAAGCGCGUGUAGGCUGCUCCGAAAGUCGGAUGUGAAAGCCCUGGGCUCAACCUAGGAAGUGCAUUCGAAACUUCGGAGCUGGAGUCCUGGAGAGGAAGGCGGAAUUCUCGGUGUAGAGGUGAAAUUCGUAGAUAUCGAGAGGAACACCGGUGGCGAAGGCGGCCUUCUGGACAGUGACUGACGCUGAGACGCGAAAGCGUGGGGAGCAAACAGG